AACCUGGUUGAUCCUGCCAGUAGUCAUAUGCUUGUUUCAAGGACUAAGCCAUGCAAGUCUCAGAGUAAAUGGAUCACAGUAGGUCUGCAGACAGCUCAUUAAAUCAGCUACAAUCUACGCCGAGAAACUGCCUUUCGGCAGACUAUUGGAUAACUUUGGUAACCCCAAAGCUAAUACAUGUCAGCAAAACCCGCACAGAUUCAACCUCGGGGCCUCGGUUCUGGGGCUGUGUUGGGUGUAAUUGACCGAAACAAAAACCAACGCUAGCAAUAGCAGCGGUGAUAGGAUGAUUCAGGUCAAUCGAAUAGUAGCGCAUACUUCGGUGGCGCUUGUCGGCAUGAGCAUCUGCCCUAUCAGCUUUUGAUGGUAGUGUAGUGGACUACCAUGGCUGUAACGGGUAACGGGGAAUUAGGGUUCGAUUCCGGAGAGGGAGCCUGAGAAACGGCUACCACAACUAAGGUUGGCAGCAGGCGCGCAAAUUGCCCAAUAGCAACACAUCGCUGAGGCAGCGAAGAGAAAUAGCAACUUCAUGCGGCCCUGCCGUGUGAAGAUUGCCAUGGACGAUAUCUAAACCUGUCGGUGAGUAUCAAUUGGUGGACAAGUCUGGUGCCAGCACCCGCGGUAAUUCCAGCACCAAUAGC
rnacentral:rRNA from 1 species